rfam:Paracoccidioides sp. &apos;lutzii&apos; Pb01 unplaced genomic scaffold supercont2.51, whole genome shotgun sequence.
GCUCCAAUAGCUCAGCGGUUAGAGCGUGCGAUUGCAGAUCGCAAUGUCCCUUGUUCGAAUCAGGGUUGGAGCU